rnacentral:rRNA from 1 species
GGGUGCGAUCAUACCAGCAGUAAUGCACCGGA